rnacentral:lncRNA from 1 species
CCAGUGGCCUUGAGUGGCCCGGGAUGGAAGACUGUUCGCAACAGAGAACCUGUCGCAUAUUCCAUAACAACUGUCCUGGCAAGACAAGGCAUGUGAGCCCCCAGGGACUUCUGGGCAAUUGGCCCUUCGAUGUACAGGUGGAUCACCCAUGGCGCCAGAUUGAGUGGCCCAGGAUGGAAGACCAUUGGCAUCGGAGACCCAUCACAUAUUCCAUGACUCCCAGCCUGGAAAGUCGAGGCCUACGAGCCGCCACGGGCCACUGGACACGCGGCCCUUGGUGGUACAGGUGGAACACCAAUGGCUGUGCAUUUGGAGCGAAGGACAACAGUGGCAGAUUUAUGGACCAUCCAACAGUUUUCCUCUCCCAUAAUCAGUUCCUCUCUGGCGGAAUUCCAGAUCCACAAGUGACUGGAAGUGAUGUUAGAGAGAAGGGAUAUUUUGCUGCUUGGAAUUCCACUGCCACCCCCAAAGAAGUGCUGUUUUCGUCACUUGUAUGAGCUCCUUUCUCUGGGAAAAUUCACAGCAUUGCUUUCUAGAGACUGACAUGUUCCAAAAACUGGGUUUCAUAUGAAUGAACUUAUUCCUUCCCCUUGAGAUGAGACAUAAAGAAAAAUGUUAGGAAUAAUUCUGCCUCCAUCCUCAAAGGCCUGUGUGAAUUCUCACAAAGAAGAUGACUUCCUGGGAGCUCUUUUGAGCAUGAAUGAUACCAGUAAACCCCUGAAGGAAGACUCUCAGACAGAGCCCUUUUGCCUCCCUCUUGUCUGUGGGCUGCCCUCUGAAGGUGAUGACCACAGAGACAAGGUGGAUUUGUUACUGUAGGUGCCAUUACUUCUGCCACCAGCUUCUCCAGUACAGUGACAGUCUUCUUUGUGCAUGGAAACUCUGCUCUUUCCUGUGUUGCAGUGGAUACCUCCUGCAGAUAAGAAAUGACAGACAACAUCUGCAAAGGAAGGAUUAUCUGAGUGCAGCCUGCUGCUCCUGGUACAACUGAUGUCAGCCUUGGUGCCGCAGCUGGGUAGACGGAAACUCAAGUCCUUUACAGCUUCCUUAUUUCCAGAAAGCUUUGGAGACAGACAACACCCCAGAGGAAGGAAGAUCUGAGCGUGGCCUGCUGCCCCUAGGGCAAUCGAUAUCAGCCUUGAUCCAGCCUUUGGUGUGGACAGAAACUCACAUCCUCUGGGGCAUCCUCCUUUCCAGAAAGCAUCAGAAUCAGACAUUCUGGAGAAGGCCUCACUGUAACCUGAACAAUUCAAGACAGACAACGUCCCCAGAGGAAGGAAGAUCUGAGUGUGGCUUGCUGCUCCUGGG